rnacentral:rRNA from 1 species
GGCGCACGGGUGAGUAACACGUGGGAACAUACCUCAUAGUACGGAAUAACUGCGGGAAACUGUAGCUAAUACCGUAUAUUCCAGAAAUGGGAAAGAUUUAUCGCUAUGUGAUUGGCCCGCGCAAGAUUAGCUUGUUGGUAAGGUAACGGCUUACCAAGGCUCCGAUCUUUAGCUGGUUUGAGAGGAUGAUCAGCCACACUGGGACUGAGACACGGCCCAGACUCCUACGGGAGGCAGCAGUAGGGUAUAUUGGACAAUGGGGGAAACCCUGAUCCAGCAAUGCAGCGUGAGUGACGAAGGCCUUAGGGUUGUAAAACUCUUUCAUCGGUGAGGAUAAUGACAGUAGCCGAAGAAGAAGGACCGGCUAAUUCCGUGCCAGCAGCCGCGGUAAUACGGAAGGUCCUAGCGUUGUUCGGAAUUACUGGGCGUAAAGCGCAUGUAGGCGGAACAAAAAGUUAGAAGUGAAAUCCCUGGGCUCAACCUAGGAAUUGCUUUUAAAACUUUUGUUCUGGAACUCAGGAGAGGAAAAUGGAAUUUCCAGUGUAGAGGUGAAAUUCGUAGAUAUUGGAAGGAACACCAGUGGCGAAGGCGAUUUUCUGGACUGAUAUUGACGCUGAGAUGCGAAGGCAUGGGUAGCAAACGGGAUUAGAUACCCCGGUAGUCCAUGCAGUAAACGAUGGGUGCUAGUCGUCGGACUUUUGUUCGGUGUCGUAGUUAACGCGUUAAGCACCC